rnacentral:lncRNA from 1 species
AAAAGAAUAGUAGAAAAACGAAAAAUAUUAUACCCGAUGGCAAAACAGGCAAGAAGGGAAAAAAGGAAAGUACUGUUGGUUAGAGACAAGCUGUAUAUCGAUGGUAAUCUGUUCACUGCACCGAAUACUGAAAUAUCUGGAAUCGAAACACAACAAUACGCAUGUGCCGAUAGUAAUAUACUUCGGCAAGAUAUACCACAACGAUACUUUAACAAACGAUCAACACCAAGUCAUGAAUCUGAAUCUUCACACCACUAAACUAAUAUGUGCUGUACAUGAAAGCAACUUGUUCUAUUCAAAUGUGAAAAGGGAACAUUGUUUCGUCAAAAUAAUACUUUACAAUCAAACUUUUUUUUAUUUUAAAGACAAUCCGGUACAUAUUUAAAUAUUUCUAUGCAAAC